UACGAAGGGGGCGAGCGUUGUUCGGAUUUACUGGGCGUAAAGGGCGCGCAGGCGGCUCAUUUUGUCAGGCGUGAAAGCCCCGGGCUUAACCUGGGAACUGCGUUUGAUACGGAUGGGCUAGAGUUCGGGAGAGGAGAGUGGAAUUCCCAGUGUAGAGGUGAAAUUCGUAGAUAUUGGGAAGAACACCGGUGGCGAAGGCGGGUCUCUGGACAGUUCCUGACGCUGAGGGACGAAAGCUAGGGGAGCAAACGGG
rnacentral:rRNA from 1 species